rnacentral:rRNA from 1 species
GACGAACGCUGGCGGCGUGCUUAACACAUGCAAGUCGAACGGAAAGGCCCUGCUUUUGUGGGGUGCUCGAGUGGCGAACGGGUGAGUAACACGUGAGUAACCUGCCCUUGACUUUGGGAUAACUUCAGGAAACUGGGGCUAAUACCGGAUAGGAGCUCCUGCUGCAUGGUGGGGGUUGGAAAGUUUCGGCGGUUGGGGAUGGACUCGCGGCUUAUCAGCUUGUUGGUGGGGUAGUGGCUUACCAAGGCUUUGACGGGUAGCCGGCCUGAGAGGGUGACCGGCCACAUUGGGACUGAGAUACGGACCAGAAUCCUACGGGAGGCAGCAGUGGGGAAUAUUGCACAAUGGGCGGAAGCCUGAUGCAGAAACGCCGCGUGCGGGAUGACGGCCUUCGGGUUGUAAACCGCUGUCGCCUGUGACGAAGCGUGAGUGACGGUAAUGGGUAAAGAAGCACCGGCUAACUACGUG